GACGAACGCUGGCGGCGUGCCUAAUACAUGCAAGUCGAGCGCAGGAAGCCGGCGGAUCCCUUCGGGGUGAAGCCGGUGGAAUGAGCGGCGGACGGGUGAGUAACACGUGGGCAACCUACCUUGUAGACUGGGAUAACUCCGGGAAACCGGGGCUAAUACCGGAUGAUCAUUUGGAUCGCAUGAUCCGAAUGUAAAAGUGGGGAUUUAUCCUCACACUGCAAGAUGGGCCCGCGGCGCAUUAGCUAGUUGGUAAGGUAAUGGCUUACCAAGGCGACGAUGCGUAGCCGACCUGAGAGGGUGAUCGGCCACACUGGAACUGAGACACGGUCCAGACUCCUACGGGAGGCAGCAGUAGGGAAUCAUCCGCAAUGGGCGAAAGCCUGACGGUGCAACGCCGCGUGAACGAUGAAGGUUUUCGGAUCGUAAAGUUCUGUUAUGAGGGAAGAACAAGUGCCGUUCGAAUAGGUCGGCACCUUGACGGUACCUCACGAGAAAGCCCCGGCUAACUACGUGCCAGCAGCCGCGGUAAUACGUAGGGGGCAAGCGUUGUCCGGAAUUAUUGGGCGUAAAGCGCGCGCAGGCGGUCUCUUAAGUCUGAUGUGAAAGCCCACGGCUCAACCGUGGAGGGUCAUUGGAAACUGGGGGACUUGAGUGUAGGAGAGGAAAGUGGAAUUCCACGUGUAGCGGUGAAAUGCGUAGAUAUGUGGAGGAACACCAGUGGCGAAGGCGACUUUCUGGCCUACAACUGACGCUGAGGCGCGAAAGCGUGGGGAGCAAACAGGAUUAGAUACCCUGGUAGUCCACGCCGUAAACGAUGAGUGCUAGGUGUUAGGGGUUUCGAUACCCUUAGUGCCGAAGUUAACACAUUAAGCACUCCUUU
rnacentral:rRNA from 1 species